AGUGUAGGUGGCUCAUUAAGUCACAUGUGAAAUCCCCGGGCUCAACCUGGGAACUGCAUGUGAUACUGGUGGUGCUAGAAUAUGUGAGAGGGAAGUAGAAUUCCAGGUGUAGCGGUGAAAUGCGUAGAGAUCUGGAGGAAUACCGAUGGCGAAGGCAGCUUCCUGGCAUAAUAUUGACACUGAGAUUCGAAAGCGUGGGUAGCAAACA
rnacentral:rRNA from 1 species